rnacentral:rRNA from 1 species
AACGAACGUUGGCGGCGUGGAUUAGGCAUGCAAGUCGCGGGAAUGCCAGCAAUGGCGGAACCGGCGUAAGGGGCAGUAAGGCAUGGGUACCUACCUGGGGUUCGGGCAUAGCCUGUAGAGAUACAGGGUAAUUCCCGAUGACGUCGUAAGACCAAAGCUCCGGCGACUUCAGAGGGGCCCAUGUGAUAUUAGCUAGUUGGUGGGGUAACGGCCCACCAAGGCGAAGAUGUCUAGCGGGUGUGAGAGCACGACCCGCGCCACUGGCACUGAGACACUGGCCAGACACCUACGGGUGGCUGCAGUCGAGGAUCUUCGGCAAUGGGCGCAAGCCUGACCGAGCGACGCCGCGUGUGCGACGAAGGCCUUCGGGUUGUAAAGCACUGUCGAGGGGGAGAAAACCGCAAGGUUGAUCUAUCCCUGGAGGAAGCACGGGCUAAGUUCGUGCCAGCAGCCGCCGUAAAAC